UACGUAGGGGGCAAGCGUGGUCCGGAUUUAUUGGGCGUAAAGAGCUCGUAGGCGGUUCCGUAAGUCGUGAAGUCAAAUCUCUGGGCUCAACCCAGAAUCGCUUCCGAUACUGCGGUAACUGGAGUCCGGUAGGGGAGUGUGGAAUUCCUGGUGUAGCGGUGAAAUGCGCAGAUAUCAGGAGGAACACCAACAGCGAAGGCAGCACUCUGGGCCGGUACUGACGCUGAGGAGCGAAAGCAUGGGGAGCGAACAGG
rnacentral:rRNA from 1 species